CAUGACUAGUCAAAGACCUUACAUCUAUUCUCUAACCGAGUUCUCCACCAGCACUCUGUGAAACAGCUGAGCCCUGAGCCCUAUUUCUGAGUGAGACAGCCCCACUGGGAUAUCUCAGGAACUGAAGCUGCUUGAUGGGGUAAUUUUCCUCUGAUAGCCCAUGAGAGACAUUACCGGGGUGAGAAGAGCUACGAGCUACCGAGCACAUGCUCAGUGCCAGGCCCUGUGCUCCUGUUUGUCGAGCACUGUCUUCCAUUUCUUCAGGUAACUGUGAGGCGGGCAUCGUGAUCC
rnacentral:lncRNA from 1 species